UCCCGCCAGCAAAUCAACAGCGCCUCUGGCGGGCUCUUCCGCCGGUCCCAGGAGGUACUCGCCCUCAACCCACCGAGAGGGGGGGCGCGGCCAGGAAGGUGUCCCGCCCCCAGACUCCUCCCCUCUCUCGCUCCAGAGCGGAGGUGCCGAGAGCCCUGGGCGAGCGGGAGGGGCGCGCGAGGCGGGCACGCGCCGCGUCGGCCCGGCUGAAAGCCCGCGGGUACGAGGCCCGGCCCGCCUUAGCCGCGGGCGGGAGCCGGGGCCCCUGACGCUGACUGACGGACUGCUGAGCCGGGGACCGCAGCUCCGCUCGCGGGCCCGGGGGGCGGGGGCAGCGUCGCCCUGCCUGGGGCCCGAGCCCAGGGCGCGCCGGCCCCUGGGGGACGCCGAAACAAGCGCCCCGCGUGCCGGGCCCCCGCCCCCGGCGCCCUAACCCCUGUCACCCGCGCUGCGCUGCGCCUGCGAAGGCCGAGCCGUUCCCCGAGGCGGUCACCCAGGCGGGUGGGGGGGCGGUCACACGCCACAGCAAACCGCCCUGGCUCAGGGACCCUUGUAGCCUGCCACGCCUUCGGGGCGCCCUCGGCCGGGUUCCCGGGAAGAGAGGUACGGGACCUGCAGCGGGGGGGAUCACGGGUCGGGGGGCACUAUGGCUCCCUGCCGGGCAGCAAGCCCAGGACCCAGCGCCAGCCGUCAGUCAGCGCCUCCUUAAGGGCCCCCUUGCCUCAGCGCCGGGGGUGGGAGGACAGGGCGGGCGCUGUGGUUUGCAGGCGAAUAUAGACCAACCAGCUGUGGGUGCAAGGGAAUAGACGCACGUGGCUGUUUCUGCUCUGCGGAAGACCCGCCGAGGGCCUUGCCCAUUGCAUGUUGUUUGAAAACCAUGCUCUGAGAGAGAACGCUCAAAAAAGAAGCCAUGUAUAGAAACCUUUUAUAUAUGGUAACCCUCGUUACUCGAAUGCUCCCUACCUUUUUUUUCAUUUAACAAAAGGGAUUACACCUUCAGCUAUCAAUUUGUGGCAUUCUCUAGGAGUUGCCAUAAAAAGCCAGAUUACCAGGGAAGCUGCAUACCAAACCACCUCUGGUCUUGGUGAAUGGAAGCUGCCCGCUUUGCAAGCCACGCUCCUGAGCACUCUAGAAAGGUUGCUUACAAAAAAAUACAACAUUAAGCUGCAAGUGCCGCACACUGUGGAAGAGACUUCAUACUUCUGAACAGGACCUGCCUGUCAAACAGCAACCUAUUGCUCCAGGCCAUGAAUGGAGAACAGAGAAAAUCUAGAGGUGCCCUCAGUCUCCUGGGAUGCAACCUGAAGUCUGGUUUUGAAAGUUGCGAGUUUAAAACCCAACUGUGAGGGUAUGUCUACACUUCAAUUAAAAACCCAUGCCUGGCCCGUGGGGCUUGGGCUCAGGGUCUGUUUAAUUGUGGUAUAGAUGAAAUUAAACAGACCCUUAUCCCGAGCUGAGUCAGCUGGCACAAGCCAGCUGCAGGUGUCUAACUGCAGCAUAGACAUACACUGAGCGUAUUAAGUCAGUGACCUUUGGAAACAAGUGUGGGUGCAAAGGUGGAUGAGCUCUGCUGGUUUACCAGCUGUAUUUACUGGCAGCAGGUUCCUUUGCAAACUACUUCUAGUCUGUGAUUUUCAUUUUGCUCCUUUAUUUUCCAUUACUAAGGAAACAGAUGCAUUUACUUCUUAAGUGUUUGCUUUCAGUCCUAUACCAUGAAACGGGCUGUACAAAAAAUACCAAGUAUUUUCAUAAAAAAAUUAAUUUUGUUUCAGGACAUUUUGAAGCCCCAAGGAAAUUCAUAAAGUAGUUUUUACAUCAGAACAUGACAAAAUAUGCAUUUCUCAUGUAUUUGAACAGGACUUUGAAUUUCAAAAAUUGAAGUUUUUGCAUUUGAGCAAAAGUGAGCUCAUUUUCAAUCCAGCUGUAUUACUUUCGAGAUUAAACAAGCUAAAUUUUACCGUA